CUCACACAUCCCUCUUUUUUCCCUUUCUCUCUCACAACCUCUGUUAUUGUUUAGUUCAAAAAAAGAAAAACAAGGGGAACGAUUUUAUUGUUAACUCUCAAUUUCCUUUCUUUUUCUAUUCUUUUUUGGGAGUGGUGUUAAAUUAGUUUUAGAAAUUUUAAUUUUUAUAGCUUCAUGAUCUGUACUUUGUUGCUCAUCUUUCAUUUGUUGUUUUCUUCUGAUUCCUUCAAAGUACUUUACUUUUUCCUUUGUCUCUACUCCCCAUCUCAUCAUCAUUCAUAAAAUACAUACAUAGUGCAGGUGGUAGCAGCAGAGGCCAACGCUAGGGAAGGGGAGAAGAUGUAGUACAUCCUCUUAAACUUCAAGGAGACAACUCUUUAAAAGAUACCCAUUGUUCUUUCAGCCUUAAACCAGAUUACCCAUAGCUUGAACAGGUUGGAUUUGCAAGUUUGAAUUUGUUCGAACAAUUUCCAGCAAUGUUUUCCUUCUUUUGGUGCAUUCUGGUAUGGACUCACUCCUUUUUUUCUCUUUAGUUUUGAGUUACCCAUCUCGUAAUAGUUUCAAAUCUAUAGGUUUAGGCCCUUCAAACUCCGGCAAACACUUUGAUUCUAUUUGGUGAAGUUAGUUUCAAACUAAUUUGAUCACAUCUAAUUACCAACCAACAAUCAUUUAGGCUCGUUGGUGAAUUUAUGUAGAUUUCAAUGAGUUGAGGAUAAUAUUUGAUGAAGCUUUGAUUUGGAGUUACCUAAAAAUGUUUUGGUGCUUAAAGGAGGGUGUAAUCUCUCUUUCUUAUUAUUACAUAUGCUUUGUGUGUUACGAUAAGAAUCAUAAAUAAUUUUUUUGUUAUUAAGUAUAUUAUGUCCGAAUGAGUUUUAUUCACUUGUUGGGAGAGAUAUUUUGUAACUUUUGAAUUGUUCACGAGGUUGUUAAUGUUGUGAUAUUGAAAGUAUUAAUAUAGAAUUGUAAUUUUGGAAUUAUUCAUAUAAAUGAAGUUUAGUAACCUUUUAAACA